UGAGUGUAGUUAUGCGUGGUUGGUCAGCAUAAUGCACAAUCCCUUUCCUCUCAAGCGUGUUAUACUCAAGAUUGGGGCAGGAUAUUUCAGUGGCCAACUAUUAGAGGGAUCCCUAUCAGUGGGAGCUCUACAAGGAGUACAGUUCCUUCCUCUACCCCCUCAACCAUCCUAGUGACUCCUCCCACAAGACCAACUUUGAGCGGGUUGAGCAGCUGGUGUUGACUGGUGGCCCUGACGAUGGUGUCAUCACUCCCUGGCAGUCAAGCCAAUUUGCAUUCUAUGAUGAGAACGAGAUAAUUAUUGACAUGGAAAAUCAAAAAUAUUUUGUAAAGAACACGUUUGGUCUCCAAACUCUCCACUCAAGAGGGGCCAUCCACAGCCACAUCAUCCCUGGGGUGCAGCACACACAGUGGCAUGGAAACAAGGAUGUAUUUGACUGCUGCAUUGCCCCCUACCUCUAAUAACUGUAUUCAUUUUGUUAUUACACAUGUUUACUUUUAGUAGGGCUUCUUUUCAUGAUUUGUGUGGGUUGCAGGUGCAUGUGACUCUUCAGCACAACUCCAGCUAGCUAGCUAUAAUUAUUGUGUUAAAAUUAUAUAUAAUUAAAAUUAAUUAAAAAAAUAGCUCGAAAUAAUUUUUGGCAUCAAUGUCCAUUUUUGGUAAAGAUCAUUUCAUUAAGUUUUGCACAAUGACAUCAACCAAAAUGGCAGGUAAUAAGUGG